rnacentral:lncRNA from 1 species
AAGAAUGCCAACGAGUAAGAAUGUUUCCCUGGAAGAAAAACCAAUUUCUCGAAGAAAAGAAAAUUUUCUCAUAUGUAAACAACAUUUUAAAAGAAAGAAAAACAUUCCAAGAGGUUGAGAAAAAUGAUAGAAGUGGAAAUAAAAAGAGAAAAAGAUGGUUAAGGUUAAGUAGAAAAGACAUUCCCCCAAGUAAGGGAGAGAAAUGACCUUUGAGAAGAAAAGUGCUUCCC